rnacentral:rRNA from 1 species
AUUGAACGCUGGCGGCAUGCUUUACACAUGCAAGUCGAACGGGGUGAGGAGCUUGCUCCUCAUCUAGUGGCGAACGGGUGAGUAAUACAUCGGAACGUACCGUGUAGUGGGGGAUAACUUACCGAAAGGUAGGCUAAUACCGCAUACGAUCCACGGAUGAAAGCAGGGGACCUUCGGGCCUUGUGCUAUACGAGCGGCCGAUGUCUGAUUAGCUAGUUGGUGAGGUAAAGGCUCACCAAGGCAACGAUCAGUAGCGGGUCUGAGAGGAUGAUCCGCCACACUGGGACUGAGACACGGCCCAGACUCCUACGGGAGGCAGCAGUGGGGAAUUUUGGACAAUGGGCGCAAGCCUGAUCCAGCCGUGCCGCGUGUCUGAAGAAGGCCUUCGGGUUGUAAAGGACUUUUGUCAGGGAGUAAAUCCUG